CAGUUUUUUGAAGCAGCAGGAUGCUGAUCUAGACGUGGAAAAAGACCGGUCCAGCAGCUGUAGAAGAAGACAUGUGGUGUAUAUAAAGUUUGUGAUAGUUGGGGGAAAUUUUGGUUAGUGUGGGUGCCAUCCUAAGCCAGAUUCUUUGAAGCCACUUUGAGACUGCCAUCCUUCUUGUCUGCUCCAGGAGCCUGUGGAUCUGCCAUCAGCCCUCACUGGAAAAUUUACACCGCAGUGUGGGUGCUGUAAAACCAGGGUUUCCCACUUACGGAGGGGAAACAUUUUCAGAAUAAGUAACUGUUGCAUAUUCUAGUACAUGCUGGACAGCUGACCCUGGGUAAUAAAUCCAACCUGGGAUACAGGUAUUUGGACCAACUCUAUAGCCCUGCCUCUAACUGGUACGGCUGCCUGUGCAAAUGGGUAUCGUGAUGUCAUUCGU